GAUUAUGACGUACUUGUACUGAUUGAGAUUUUAACACGAAGUGAGUGGCGAACGGGUGAGUAACACGUGGGUAACCUGCCCAGAAGUAGGGGAUAACACCUGGAAACAGAUGCUAAUACCGUAUAACAGAGAAAACCGCAUGGUUUUCUUUUAAAAGAUGGCUCUGCUAUCACUUCUGGAUGGACCCGCGGCGUAUUAGCUAGUUGGUGAGGUAAAGGCUCACCAAGGCAGUGAUACGUAGCCGACCUGAGAGGGUAAUCGGCCACAUUGGGACUGAGACACGGCCCAGACUCCUACGGGAGGCAGCAGUAGGGAAUCUUCCACAAUGGACGCAAGUCUGAUGGAGCAACGCCGCGUGAGUGAAGAAGGGUUUCGGCUCGUAAAGCUCUGUUGUUAAAGAAGAACGUGGGUAAGAGUAACUGUUUACCCAGUGACGGUAUUUAACCAGAAAGCCACGGCUAACUACGUGCCAGCAGCCGCGGUAAU
rnacentral:rRNA from 1 species